AUUGAACGCUGGCGGCAGGCUUAACACAUGCAAGUCGAGCGAGCGGCGGACGGGUGAGUAAUGUCUGGGAAACUGCCUGAUGGAGGGGGAUAACUACUGAAAACGGUAGCUAAUACCGCAAACCAUCAAAUGUGCCCAGAUGGGAUUUGCGAGUAGGUGGGGUAAGGGCUUGCCUAGGCGACGAUCCCUAGCUGGUCUGAGAGGAUGCCCAGCCACACUGGAACUGAGAAACGGGCCAGACUCCUACGGGAGGCAGCAGUGGGGAAUAUUGCACAAUGGGCGCAAUCCUGAUGCAGCCAUGCCGCGUGUGUGAAGAAGGCCUUCGGGUUGUAAAGCACUUUCAGCGAGGAGGCGUUACUCGCAGAAGAGGCACCGGCUAACUCCGGGCCAGCAGCCGCGGUAAUAC
rnacentral:rRNA from 1 species